UUUAAUGGCUGCAGUAUACCUGACUGUGCAAAGGUAGCAUAAUAAUUUGAUUUUUAAAUGGAAUCUGGAACGAAAGAAUUAAUGAAAUAUAUACUGUCUCUUAUUUAUUAAAUGAAUUUAAAUUUUUAAUAAAAAUGUUAAAAUUUUUUUAUGGGACGAUAAGACCCUAUAGAAUUUUAUAUUAAAUUAAAUUUAUAUAAAAUAUAAAAUUUAAUUUAAUAUUUAAUUGGGAGAAUUAUUAAAUUUAAUAAAUUUUAAUAAAAAUAAACUUAAAUUAAAGAAAAUAUAAUGAUCUUUAAGUUAAAAUUAAUAGAAUAAAUUACCUUAGGGAUAACAGCGUAAUAUUUUUUUAUAGAUCGUAUAGAAAAAAAUGAUUGCGACCUCGAUGUUGAAUUAAGAUAAAUUUUAAAUGCAUC
rnacentral:rRNA from 1 species